UACGUAGGGUGCAAGCGUUAAUCGGAAUUACUGGGCGUAAAGCGUACGCAGGCGGUUUUGUAAGUCUGUCGUGAAAUCCCCGGGCUCAACCUGGGAAUGGCGAUGGAGACUGCAAGGCUAGAGUUUGGCAGAGGGGGGUAGAAUUCCACGUGUAGCAGUGAAAUGCGCAGAUAUCAAGAGGAACACCUGAGGUGAAGACGGGUUGCUGGGCUGACACUGACGCUGAGGCGCGAAAGCCAGGGGAGCAAACGGG
rnacentral:rRNA from 1 species